GACAGAGGUGGCGAGCGUUGUUCGGAAUUACUGGGCGUAAAGGGCGCGUAGGCGGAUAGUUUAGUCAGAGGUGAAAGCCCAGGGCUCAACCUUGGAACUGCCUUUGAUACUGGCUAUCUUGAGUUCGGGAGAGGUGAGUGGAAUGCCGAGUGUAGAGGUGAAAUUCGUAGAUAUUCGGCGGAACACCAGUGGCGAAGGCGACUCACUGGCCCGAUACUGACGCUGAGGCGCGAAAGCGUGGGGAGCAAACAGG
rnacentral:rRNA from 1 species